UUAGGAAAAUUUUCUAAAACUAAAUUGUGGCUACUAACAAUGGUUUCUUACAUAUGGCACUAAAAGUACAAAUAACAAAAAAAAAAAAAAAAAAAGGAUGAAUUUGACUCCAUCAAACUUAAUUUGUGGUGUGUGUGUGUGUGUGUGUGUCCCUGGAAUAUUUGCAAAUGUUGUAGCCACUAAAGAACCUGUACCAAGAUAUAUAAACAGUGCAAAAAUUCAACAGUGAAAGACAACCCAAACAAAA